GCCAGGCGUGGUGGCUCAUGCCUGUAAUCCCAGCACUUUGGGAGGCUGAGGUGGGUGGAUCACUUGAGGCCAGGAGUUCGAGACCAGCCUGGCCAACAUGGUGAAACCCCAUCUCUA
ensembl:misc_RNA Metazoa_SRP Metazoan signal recognition particle RNA